AAAAUGUAUUUAUCAAAUAAUGUAUAAUCAUGGCAAAAUCUGAAUUAUUGUAAAUUUUUUGUAUAUUGUUAAAAUUGUAAUUCUAAAUUGUAUUUUAAAAUAAUUAUUUCUGAUAUUGUUUUUAUUUAACCCAUGAUGAAAACUGGACUAUAUAUAUAGAUAUAUAGCUAUAUCUAAACAUAUAUAAGUAUGAACUAUUUAAAAUUUUUAAUAGUUUUUUUCUUUUUGGUGCCUAUAAUUGAUUGGUCAUUUCUGCUGGCUUUUCUCCAAUGAACUUUGAAAUCUUUCUGUAUAUGCUAUCAAUAAGAAACUACCCUGGAACAUUAGAAAAAUCCAACAAGAGACUUGGUUUCAUCAAGCACAUUAUCAGACUUUGAGAAGAUAUCAAAGGCAUUGACUUUCAAAAUCAUCUUUUUCUAAGAAGAAAGCAAUGGAAAAAAAUUUUCUUCAUUCAGUGAAUCCCCAGUUUGGGGUUUGGGGGGCUUAGAGACAUUGUGAAAUCAAAUCUUGUGUUAUUUUUCUUCUGGCUCACUUUUUUUGAGAAGGUUUAUGGGCUAUUUGGCUGGUGAGACACGAUCCCCUCCUAAGAAAAUGUAGGUGCUCAGACAGGUAACCUCUGCUGCUACUGUUUUUAUUUGUUUGUUUGUUUAAUUUCAUUUAAGAUUUGUUUUUGUUGUAAUAGGAUUUUUUAAAAUGUAAUAUAUUGCAGGAAUUAUAACCAGGUUCACUGCUUUCUUUCUUUCUUUUUCUUUUUUUUCUUUAAAAAAAACAAACAAAGUUUUAUUUAAAAUACAUUUAGGCGCCUUUGAAGCUUGGAUUUUGGAAUGUUUCAGUAGUGGACAGAAAUCUGCUGUUGGAAUCUUCUAGUCUUCCAGGUUUAAUUUGAAAUGUUUUUAGUUUUGUUUUGGAUUUUUGUGUGAUAUUUUGUUUCCUUUAUACCAAUGCCAUUUUGCCAUGCUGUUUUGGGGUGGCUGCCUAACUCUAGUGAAAAAUUUUCUAUAUUAACAAGUUUGGCCUUUUAAAUCCUUAAUGUUUUGCAGUUUUUACAUUGUUUUUAAAGAAAUAUUCUAACUUCUUCCAAUGUUACUGUUCUUUACCAGCCUUUUCAGGAGCCAAAAAAACAAAUACAAACAAACAAAAAAAUACCCAGAGAAAAAACUUUCCUUCUUCCCCCUUCCUGAUGAUGAGUGAGAAGUAUUGAGAACUUUCGGGGUCAGUGCCCUUCUAAACUCCCCUUCCCCCAAUAAUGCAGCUGUGUAAUGAAUGGUAAAUGCAGCGGUUUGGAUUCAGGCACAGCCCCAGCCUGCUGGCAGCAGAGAAUUAAACUGGUAGGUGGCAGCAGAGGAAGAAAUUCUUCAGAUCCAUGGCUACUGACUUAAAAUCUGCACAGGAGAGGAGAUGGAGCAUGGCAUGCCAAGUGAAGCAAGGGGGGCACAAAAAUGGAGACAGGACUGGAGUUCUGGGCUUUGACUCUACAUGGUUCUUUUUGAAGUCACCAGUGAUCUUUUUGCUUGCUUCAGCAACAGAAUGGAAGAAGAUAGAGUUGUCUCUGCUUUUUCAAGUGGAAAAUAAAAAUACACAGAACAAGGAAGCAAUAACUCUAACCUGUUUGAUUCAGUGUGUUUUCUAAAAUAAAAACACCAUGAAUUGGAAAUAAA